GGCUACUUUGUGGGGUACGCCUAUAUGAGCUCCACCUGCAAAGCCUUAGAGCCGUGUGUGGCUGCAUUAUGGCUGUGUCCAGUGGGUCAACCACGAGAGGAGAGAAUCCAGCGUGUCUGCAGCUGCUGCGCCAGCCAGAAGAGAAUAAAUGCUUCUGCACUUGCUACAGCUCCUCGAAUUUUCUUCCAGCCUCUUAACUCGUGCCUUGCCUACCAUGGGUUCAGGGAAGUGUAGUGCCCAGUGAGACAUAGUGAGACAGCUGGCCCUGCAAACAGGAUCAGCAAGGCACCACCCCUCUAGAUCAUCACGGAUUACCAACCAGAUAAAGUAUUUAUUUUACUAUCCACCAUGAACGCUGUCAGGCAAGGCUUCAUCGUCUCUUAAUGGAAUAUGAGAAUCAGCUGGUCAGAGAAGACAGAUGAAAAGACUCAACACCUUCCAAGAAACCCAGUGGCAUAGAUGGUUUAUCAGUAACGCUCCUUAUUAUCCAGGACCUGGGAGCCAUCUGUUUGAAACAUAAUAAUCAAGAAGCAAGGAGCCCAGGCCUUCUAGUUUCUUGGCUUGAGAGGAGCCAGACUUCAGCAGUGUCUGCAGACUUGGUUGCUGCAAGUCCUGUUGGUAAGCAGUUUUGUCACAUGGAUCUUUAAAAGGUCAACACAGGUAUCCAGGUACAGCUAAUCUUCAGUUUCCGGAGAAGGCAAUGGCAACCCACUCCAG
ensembl:lncRNA